GGAAUUUUCCGCAAUGGGCGAAAGCCUGACAGAGCAAUACCGCGUGAGGGAUGAAGACUUACUGAGUUGUAAACCUCGGUACCUUAAGGAAGAAGAUAUGACGGUACUUAAGGUGGAAAGCAUCGGCUAACUCCGUGCCAGCAGCCGCGGUAAGACGGGGGAUGCAAGUGUUAUCCGGAUUUACUGGGCGUAAAGCGUCUGCAGGUGGUUUCUUAAGUCUACUGUUAAAUCUUGAGGCUCAACCUCAAAUCUGCAGUAGAAACUAGGAGACUUGAGUAUAGUAGGGGUAGAGGGAAUUUCCAGUGGAGCGGUGAAAUGCGUAGAUAUUGGAAAGAACACCGAUGGCGAAGGCACUCUACUGGGCUAUUACUGACACUCAGAGACGAAAGCUAGGGGAGCAAAUGGGAUUAGAUACCCCUGUAGUC
rnacentral:rRNA from 1 species